rnacentral:rRNA from 1 species
AUUGAACGCUGGCGGCAGGCCUAACACAUGCAAGUCGAACGAGUGGCGGACGGGUGGGUAAUGUCUGGGAAACUGCCUGAUGGAGGGGGAUAACUACUGGAAACGGUAGCUAAUACCGCAUACCAUCGGAUGUGCCCAGAUGGGAUUAGCUUGUUGGUGGGGUAACGGCUAACCAAGGCGACGAUCCCUAGCUGGUCUGAGAGGAUGAACAGCCACACUGGACCUGAGACACGGUCCAGACUCCUACGGGAGGCAGCAUUGGGGAAUAUUGCACAAUGGGCGCAAGCCUGAUGCAGCCAUGCCGCGUGUAUGAAGAAGGCCUUCGGGUUGUAAAGUACUUUCAGCGGGGAGGCGUUACCCGCAGAAGAAGCACCGGCUAACUACGUGCCAGCCGCCGCGGUAAUUC